UGUAGAGUGGCUGAAGUUUUAGGCGAAGGAUUGUAAAUCUUUUAAUGGAAUUGGAUUCUUUCUAU
rnacentral:tRNA from 1 species